UUUUCCUAAGGUAUUUACUGCUGGUGUUGAAAUCUCUUGACUGGGUUUGCACUGAAUUGGCCUGUUUUGAUCUCCAGGAUAUGGGCAGCAGCAGCAGCAGCAGCAGCAGCAGCAGCAGCAGCAA
ensembl:miRNA